ACACGACUACAUUAGAUACCCGGGUAGUCCCAGCCGUAAACAAUGUGCGUUAGGUGUGUCGGUAACCACGCGUUACUGAUGCGCCGAAGAGAAAUCGUGAAACGCACCACCUGGGAAGUACGGUCGCAAGGCUGAAACUUAAAGGAAUUGGCGGGGGAGCACCACAACAGGUGGAGCCUGCGGUUUAAUUGGAUUCAACGCCGGACAUCUCACCGGAUAAGACAGCUGAAUGAUUGUCAAUCUGAAGGUUUUACAUGACUAGCUG
rnacentral:rRNA from 1 species